rnacentral:rRNA from 1 species
AGGACGAACGCUGGCGGCGUGCUUAACACAUGCAAGUCGAGCGGAAAGGCCCUUCGGGGUACUCGAGCGGCGAACGGGUGAGUAACACGUGAGUAAUCUGCCCUUAGCUCUGGGAUAGCUCCGGGAAACCGGGAUUAAUACCAGAUACGACCACUUUAGACAUCUGCCGUGGUGGAAAGAAUUUCGGCUAAGGAUGAGCUCGCGGCCUAUCAGCUUGUUGGUGGGGUAACGGCCUACCAAGGCGACGACGGGUAGCCGGCCUGAGAGGGCGACCGGCCACACUGGGACUGAGACACGGCCCAGACUCCUACGGGAGGCAGCAGUGGGGAAUAUUGCGCAAUGGGCGAAAGCCUGACGCAGCGACGCCGCGUGGGGGAUGGAAGGCCUUCGGGUUGUAAACCCCUUUCAGCAGGGACGAAGCGAAAGUGACGGUACCUGCAGAAGAAGCGCCGGCUAACUACGUGCCAGCAGCCGC